rnacentral:misc_RNA from 1 species
AAGUCGUAACAAGGUUUCCGUAGGUGAACCUGCGGAAGGAUCAUUAACACAAUUUAACAUUGUACACCCCAUUUAUGAAUGAAUUAUUUAAAAGUAGUAAAUUUUUUUAGUAAUAAUAGUAAAUAUUUAUUAUUAUUCUAAAUUUUUUUUACUAUUUUUACUUAUUAUUUUUCAAUUUUUUUUUAACACCCCAAAAAAAACACUAUAAAUUAUUAUUGAUCUUAAACAUGUUAUUUUUUUAACUUUAAAAAAAAAUUAAAAAAAACAACUCUUAACAACGGAUAUCUUGGCUCUC